UUCAACNGCCGCGGUAUCCUAACCGUGCAAAGGUAGCGUAAUCACUUGUCCUCUAAAUAGGGACCAGUAUGAACGGCUAAAUGAGGACUAACCUGUCUCCUCAGGCCAAUCAGUGAAACUGAUCUGCCAGUACAAAAGCUGGUAUACUAUCAUAAGACGAGAAGACCCUGUGGAGCUUUAAAUCUAACCCAAAGCUACAACCAAAGACUAGCAAUAAUGGUCCACGAUUUUAAGUUGGGGCGACUU
rnacentral:rRNA from 1 species